GAUGCUGAGGAGCCCCAUUAUUAGCCAAAAACAAGCUAAUCAACAGAAUAAAUGAGGGUUUCUUUUGAUUCCCAAUAAUCUUUAACCGCCGCAGCUUCAAACUGUCGCCGGAGCUUGAGGGAACCAAAUCAAAACAGAAGGCGGAUCAUCGGUGUGUGCUGCCGGAUCUUCAAUGUGCAACGGUCGCAGUCGUCGGAACUUCUGGAAGCUGAAGCUUGAGAGUUGAGACUGAGGAAGAAAGCAAAAAGGAGAUCCAUGAUUUCGGAAUGGGGUACCCAAAAAAAUGUGUUUGAUUCGGUUUCCACAAAA
rnacentral:misc_RNA from 1 species